rnacentral:rRNA from 1 species
CAGCCGCCGCGAUAAUACCGGCGGCCCGAGUGGCGGUCACUAUUAUUGGGCUUAAAGCGUCCGUAGCCGGGUUGGGAAGUCCUCCGGGAAAUCUGGCCGCUUAACGGUCAGAAUGCCGGAGGAUACUCCCAGCCUAGGGAGCGGGAGAGGCCGAGGGGAUUCCCGGAGUAGGGGUGGAAUCCUAUAAUCCCGGGAGGACCACCUGUGGCGAAGGCGCUCGGCUGGAACGCGUCCGACGGUGAGGGACGAAGGCCAGGGGAGCAAACCGGAUUAGAUACCCGGGUAGUCCUGGCUGUAAACGAUGCGGACUUUGUGUCGGACAAGCUAUGAGCUUGUCCGGUGCCGGAGGGAAACCGUUAAGUCCGCCGCCUGGGGAGUACGGCCGCAAGGCUGAAACUUAAAGGAAUUGGCGGG